UACGUAGGUGACAAGCGUUGUCCGGAUUUACUGGGCGUAAAGAGCGCGCAGGCGGUCGUUCAAGUCGAGUGUGAAAGCCCCCCGGCUCAACUGGGGAGGGUCACUCGAUACUGAUCGACUCGAAGGCAGGAGAGGGAAGUGGAAUUCCCGGUGUAGUGGUGAAAUGCGUAGAUAUCGGGAGGAACACCAGUGGCGAAGGCGACUUCCUGGCCUGUUCUUGACGCUGAGGCGCGAAAAGCUAGGGGAGCAAACGGGG
rnacentral:rRNA from 1 species